ensembl:lncRNA
UGUGUGUGUGUGUGUGUGUGUGUGUGUGUGUGUGUGUGUGUGUGUGUGUGUGUGUGUGUGUGUGUGUGUGUGUGUGUGUGUGUGUGUGUGUGUGUGUGAUUGUGUUAUUUCAUACAUUUUCAGUUGAAUUUAAUCCAGUUCUACCAGCAGCUGUAUGUCCAGAGGAGGAAGCAAAGGAGGAGGAGUAGGAGGAGGAGUAGGAGGAGGAGUGAGAGGAGGAGUGAGAGGAGGAUUAGGAGGAGGAGUAGGAGGAGAAGAGAGAGGAGGAUUAGGAGGAGGAGUAGGAGGGGAGUAGGAGGAGGAGGAGAGGAGGAGGAGGAGUGAGAGGAGGAUUAGGAGGAGGAGUAGGAGGAGGAGUAGGAGGGGAGUAGGAGGAGGAGUGAGAGGAGGAUUAGGAGGAGGAGUAGGAGGAGGAGUAGGAGGAGGAGUAGGAGGGGAGUAGCAGAGGGAUCCGAAAAAAGGUGGUGAGGAGGAGAAGGAUGAGGAGAAAGAGGAGGUAGGGAAUGAGGAGGAGGAGUAGGAGGAGAUAGGGGAAGAGGUAGAGGAGACAGGGGUAAAUUAAAUGUCUAGUCUCCUUCCUCUAUGUCUACCUCUGAUUUUAACCUUCACUGAAAGGACAUUUAGUUUGUUUUUGUUUCUCUGUUUUUCAAAUGUUAGUACUUAAUGAUCACAAUAUGUUUACUAAACUGCUACUUCUUCACUAUCUGUUUCCUUUAUUAAAAUAAUGAAUUAUUCUAUCAAUUACCCUUCCCUGUCUUUCACACACAAACACACACACACACACGCACGCACGCACGCACGCACGCACGCACGCACGCACACACACACACACACACACCCACACACACACACACACACACACACACACACACACACACACACACACACACACACACACACACACACACACACACACACACACACACACACACACACACACACACGUAAAUGCACACACACAAACAGAAACUAUACAUUUAAAGUGUAAUUUCUUAUUUAUUUUAUUUCAACAUUUCAAC